rnacentral:rRNA from 1 species
AAGUAAAAGUCGUACAAGGUUCCGUAGGUGAACCUGCGGAAGGAUCAUUAUUAAUUUCUGCGCGAUUUUUUUUUGCGCAUGUAUUUAAAACCCACAUUCUUUUUUGAAAAAUUGACAUAUUUUUUACUUGAAAUUAAGUAAUUAAAAAGAUCACUUUCAACAACGGAUCUCUUGGCUCUCGCAUCGAUGAAGAACGUAGCAAAGUGCGAUAAGUAGUGUGAAUUGCAGAAUUCCGCGGAUCAUCGAAUUUUUGAACGCAAAUUGCACUCUUCGAUUUCGAAGAGUAUGCCUGUUUGAGGGUCGUCAAAAUAAAAAAUCGAUUCGUUACUUUUGUAACAUUUCGGAAUUGAGUCGUCUUGCAUCUUUGAUUCAAGAGGCUUAAAAUUGAUCACUUUUGGUAUGAUUUGAGUGUACUUAAGAUUUCUUUAUCGCGCUCGAUGAAUAUCGGACAUUUUCAUUAGGAUGACCAUUGAUCAUGGUUUCAUUCCUAUAAUCAUUUCAUGAUACGACCUCAAAUCAGGUAGGAAUACCCGCUGAACUUAAGCAUAUCAAUAAGCG